CCACGAUGAUUUCCAUCUGUCUUUGCUUUGCUAUGCUCCCGUCUUCCCUUUGCUUUGGGCAAUAAGGAAACCAGUAAACUGCAUGUUCUGAGGUUCCUGGCUCUGAGGUCUGAGUAGCUUUUAUAUGAUUGUAGAGAUGGGGAGCAGAGAAUUGUGGUUUUUGGGGCAAACAAGAAAUCCAAGUCAGACCUGAAUCCUAAAUGAUGUCUUCUAGAAUAAGCUGCAGCUCCCAUCUCAGAAUCAGAGGAUAUUUGGUGGUCUCUGAAGAAAUGCUUCAUCUCUGUGAAAGUGGGACACUAAAGGCACAAGUUGACAACAGCAUCAGAAAAUAUCUCAACCAUUUGGUGACUACAGCUACAGUGUUUAAAGGAGCCAGAUGAAUUAGAAGAUGAUAAAAGUAAACUCGCUUUCCCUGAAACAGGUUCGCUCAGCACCGUGCGAGGCCUUAGGGCUGCGGGGAAACCACGGCCGGCAGCAGAGAAGAGCGUGGCGGGGCCGCGCAAAGCCGAGCGGAGGAGCGCAGCGGUGGCAGUGACUCGAGUGCGGGCGGGGGCUCCUGUCCCCCAGAGCGGUCCCUGUCUCCUGAGGAGGGUGACAAACACGGGCCCUGCUCACAGAGUGUGUGAGGGCAGAGGAGGAGGAGGAGGGAGCCCGGCAGGCCCCUGCCCAUGGCAGCGCUGGCCGGGGCAGUGGUGCUGCCGGGGCAGGGACAGGCCGUGGCACACAGCGUGUCCCAGGGCAUGGCUCUCACCCUGCGGGAAGGGAUCUGCGUGUUCUAUGACCUAGAGCUGGCACAGGUUCAUGUUCUGCAAGAAGAAGGGCAAGAAAAGAGUUCAGAAAGCAAGGCAACUGAGAAACCACCAGACAUGCUCCGGAUGGAGAUUGACAGAGAUAAUGAUGCCAUUGCAUUUGAAAAUAACAUCCAGCAGCUGAGCCCAUCUGAAGAGGGGGAAGGAAAGAAACUUUUUUCCACAGUUGGGGGAAAAAAGAGCCAAAGCUGCAAAGCCAGUGAAAAUUUGUCGGAGUUGUGUAAUGGAAGUAAAGAGCAGGAAUAUGCAACUGCAUCAGAACAAACAGUUGUAAAAAAUUCCAAGAAUCUAAAAUUUCAGGCUUGUGCACCACGUCAGAAAAAAGGAGAAAAAGAAGGUUUCAGCUGUUGUUUCUGCACAUUCACCUCAGCCAGAUUGUCAAAUCUGAAGCGUCACUUGAAAACCCAUUCUGAUGAGAAACGUUACUUGUGUCACCUCUGCCCGAAGGCUUUUCGUACAGCAACUCUCCUGCACAACCAUGUGAACACACAUACAGGGACCAAACCCUAUAAAUGCAGUGAGUGUGAUACAGCAUUUGUGACCAGGGGUGAGCUUUCCCGACACAGGCGGUACAAACACACCUUAGAAAAACCUUUCAAGUGCACAAUAUGUGAAUACUCCAGUGUAGAAGCCAGCAAAAUGAGACGACACAUUCGUUCCCACACAGGAGAGCGUCCCUAUCCCUGUGACCUUUGCAGUUAUGCCAGCAAAGAUGCCUAUAAACUGAAAAGGCACAUGUUAACUCAUACAGGGGAGAAACGCUAUGAAUGUUGUGUUUGCCGGGCCAGAUUCACUCAAAGUGGUACCAUGAAAAUCCAUAUGUUACAGAAGCACGGAGAAAAUGUCCCAAAACACCAGUGUCCACAUUGCAGUACCCUUAUUUCCCGAAAAAGUGAUUUGGGUGUCCACUUGCGAAAUCUUCACUCCUACAUGGAGGAGGCCAUUAAGUGCAGUGCCUGUGAGGCAGUUUUUCACGAACGCUACGCUUUCCUUCAGCACAAGAAGACUCACAGAGGAGGAAAAGGAUUCAAAUGUGCUCAGUGCAGCUACACGUGUAAUCAGAAAAAUAUGCAUAAGCAUGCUGAAAAUUGUGGACUGGGGAGGGCAGAAACUGCUGCACCCAGAAAAAGAAGCAAGGAGAAAAAUAAAAUCCAUGAGAACCCCAGGCGUGUUAAGUCAGAAGUGCCUAAGGAAUGCAGGAGUGUGUGGAGGUGCUGCCGGCUCCAUCCUGCCAGGAGAACAGCCCGGGAGGGACCUGCUGUUCCUGCCGGGCUCCCCUCGCCUGGCAGAUGCAGGCUGGCUGCAGGAGGUCACUGUGGGCAGCCAGGCUGCCCUAAUGUGGGGUUUUCUCCUCCUCAGGAGCAGCUGAUUGAGUCGAAACAAUACUCUGCUUUCCCCAUUUGAUGAUGAAGACUGACAGUUUGUAGGAGAUGAGUCAAAGGUCACUGAUGAGAAGAUCCAUCCAGAUAAUUGCUGUAAUUGCACCCUGAGGAUGCAGCUCCCGUCACAAAGCAUCAGGCAGUGACUCUGUUGCAGAGGUCCAAGGGAUUGGAAGCAAAGUGUUUGUUUUUGAAAGAAGUUACAGUGUUCGUUUUCUGUCAAAACUACAUAAAGGAUUGUGAUUCCCCAGCCAUUAGUGAGGAGAAAUCUUGACAAAAUAAAUAAAAAACCAACUUAGAAUGUGUUUCAUCUUUUGGAUGCUGAGGAUUACUUUCUGACACUUGAGUUUUCUAACUGUAAGCAGGUUUAGAAGCAAAAAAGAAUGCUGGAAGAAUGAAGUGUGGUGAAAGCAACAGCAUCACAAGUUUGGAAGGUGACGCUGUUUUCUGGAUAGCUCUGCUGAGAGGAGAUGUUCAGAUUAAAGUGCAAGAUGGAGAUGAUGAAGAUUCUGUGACAACAGUCGGGGACAAGGAUGAGAGUCCUCUUGAAACUCUUCCUUUGGAGGUCCCUGUAAGUUAUGUCAGAGGCCAGUGAGACCUAUUUGCUCACAUUUCUCUGCAAUAUCAGUAAUUUGCAGUAACAUCCCAAAUGUGAAAAGUGUUUUUAAUUGGUCUUCUGUAAAAGAAAUUGACUUUGGGGAGACUAGUAAGGUGUCUUUAUAUAUCCCUUACUUCUUCUGCCCGGAAUGAAGUUUACCAUUAAAUUCCCUGAAAGGUUGCUGUUUUAGGAUUGCAUAAAAAGUGGAGAGCUGGGCAGAGGUUAAAGGAUCAAUCCUGCAAACUGUUGAAAUGCAACUGAUUCUACUUAUGAGAGCUUCAGUGGGAAAAAUUCCCACUGUGAUUUGACUGUGGUCUGAUUCUCAUUUGCACUGACUCUCCUAUAUCCUGCUAGUAAUGGGUAAGAUUCAAUCUUGAGGGAGGAUGUCCAUAUAAGAAAUGGUUUUUGGGUAUGUGGAAACAAGACAGACUCCAUUAAGGCAUUCUCUUACCUUCAUCUAAAUCUGAAAAUAAUCAUAAAUUGGUGAUGGUACCUUAAUUACCUUGAAUAAUUAUUCAUAUAGUUUGUGUGUGUGUAUUUGUGUGGGGAAGAAGUCUUGUGAAAAUGAAGUUAAUUCAGUGUCUCAGAUAAAGAAGGAUAUUUGUUAGAAAUUGUUGUCAUAAUAGUUACACAACAGGAUUCAAAUAUUCUUUAACUUAGUAUGAAUAAAAUAUUAAAAGAUACAGGUGUUGUUCAUGAAACAUCAAAGAGUUUUCCACUGCCACUGUGUUUUAUUAAAAUGAAAAGAAGAAGAGAAAAGAAAAAAACCAAAGCCCUGUGCUAAUCCUUUCCUUUGUUGCUUAAGGGACGUUUCAGUAUAAAGUAGCAAUUUCCAUAUCAUUUGAAUAGCAGUUGCAACCCAUUGAUGUUUAAAGUAAAAUGUGCAACUACUGUAAUCAGCAAAACAGAUGCAAAUGUGUUGUCUGUCUCCCAAGUGUAGCUCCCUGCUUGCUGUCUCCGUUAGAUUUGGAGUGGAAAACAUGAUCAGAUAAUGAAAAACAUGGAAGCUAUUCUUUUAUCUCUUUCAUAGCAGUGGUUUGUUCAAAAGCAAGUUGGCUGGAUGCAGCACUGAGUGAGAGUCCUGCAGCAGCACCCCCAGCCCGCUGCUCCGGAGCUGCAGGAGAUGCCGCGGUGCUUUGGAGGUGGGAAAGGGACCCCCCACCCUCUUCACUAACCCUGCCCCUGGGGGCAGAAAUGGCCUUUUGGCUCUGUUUAAGCCCAGUGGCAUCCCAGUGUAAGUCUCUACACAUUUUUGUAAGUAAGCAAUAACAAAAAUAAAAUGACAUUUAGCAUUUAGAUCCCAGACCGGUGGUUUUGGUUGUGCCGGGUACAGUGUAGCAGGCUAGAUAAAACCCUGCUGAGCUCCCUGAGUCCUGCCAUCCCAGGCUUUAGGUGGCUGGAACUGUUCCUCAGAGGGCUUUUAAACUCUAAAAAUAACCUGUAAUGGUAUGAGGAAAGAGUUUACUUUAUCCUUCACAUUUCCAAAUUUAACAAUGAACACAUGUCGAUGGUGCCUUUCUGUGCUUGGUGUAUCUGAGCUGCUGGCACAAGAACUAGAGCCAGCAAGGGAUUUCCAUCAGAAUGACUUCUGAGUGAAGCUGCCCUUCUUGGAAAAGGGAAACCUUCUCAGCAAAAGGCUUGAUGAAGCCUCCCAAACAGGUUGUUGAUGUGAUGAGAAACCUGUUUUGCUUCCUUGAGAGCACUUUCCUGGAAAAAGACUCAUUUGUGAUUUUUUUUUUAAAUUAGUAUUUUUCCUAAUCAGGAGACAUCUUACGGAAAAGGAUUUCCAUCUUGUGGUCAGCUGUGGUAAUAAAACACUCCUGCUGGACUUUUUUUUUACAGCAAAACAAAAUGGUUUUAAAAAAAAAAUAAUGGAAAUCUCCUGUAGUUCCUUGUGAAGGUAAAUGCUGGAGACCUCACAAAGUCUGUUUGCAUUUGCACAGAAGGUAAAACUGUUUUAGGAUUAGCCCCCUUCAGAAGGUCAUCUUUGGAACUAAAAAGUAUUAGAAAAGGUAUAAUGCAAGCUAUUCAUGACAGAAUAUUCAAUUUUGACAGAUUAUGCAGCAUGUGUGCCUCAGGAGCCACACACAGGAGCCCAGACAGAAUUACUUGUAACCUUAGUGGAUGAGAGGCAAUUACUCCUGAACUCCUGGGAAAACUUCUAUCCAGAGCCAAAUAUUGUUGCUUGGAUUGUUUGCUAUUCCAGGAUGACUCUUAGGCUCAGUACAACGUCAUCAUAACUUCAUGCAGAUAUUUGUUGUUCAGGACAAGUUUUGAAACCCAUGCUCUAAUCUCGAAAUAGUAAAAUGCUGCAGGGUUAAGUGGUGGAGUUCACUGGAAAAUCUGCCCACUUCAGUGGGAAAGAUUUUUUAAUAUAUUAAAAACAAAACAGAUUUGGAAAGGUCAUUUUAAAUACUAAGAACUGUGACUGAAGGGCAGGGCUGUGUGCUGCAGAAGUUUUGGCAUUCAGGAUCUUGUGUAGGUGCUCUGUAAAUGACCCCUCUUGUACAAACCCACAAGGACAGGUGGGGCUGUUAAAAGGAAUAAUUAAAUUCUUGUAUUUAAUUAUCUUUCUUGUCCAGUUGUGCACUGAGAUGCCCCCACUGAUUGCACUGAUUCUGACUUCAGCAAGAGCUGGACCAGCCCUGAAUAUUUAUAAGGAGAGUUAAAUAAGAUCUCAGAUCAAAUUCUUAGAGAUACAUGUAAGAACUUUGUGAGUCUUUUUUAUUUUGGGGGCUUGUAACUAAAGGAGAUGUUCAGUGUGUUCCUUAGUGGGUGCCAAAAAGCUUAUUUUCAGAAGUGUCUGAAUCUCAAGGAAAGUCAAUGACUGCUAUAUUUAAUCUGAAGUCUAUGCAACUGCUGUUGAAAUCAAGCUAUGUGCUUUUUGUAAUAAUAAUACGAAAAAAUAGAGCAUUUAUAUGAAAAGUCAGGAACCAUGCAUAUAACUUACAUGCCAGGGUAAUGUAGAUUUCAAAAAAACAGUUCAACAACGUGUCUGAAGUUGUGCUGCAAAUAUUACUUUAAGGAAAGUAGAAAUUAAGAAAAUAUUUGUGAACUCUUUGCAGUAUUUGGUAAAUAGUUUCCAGAAAAAAACUGACAUCUGAAGUUUGUACACAGGCCUUGUUCUGUUGGUAACUACAGGCAGUGGGAGUUUUUGCCAUGGUCUCUACUGAAACGGGAUCCAAUUCUUUUUUUUUUUCUUCUUAUGUGGAGAUAUAAAUCUUAGACCUUAAUUACACUUAAGAAGGAAAAUACUUUGUCUUUUUAUGUUAAAAAAAAAGUCAUCUAACUAUUAUAAAGCAUUAAAAAUUACUUGAGAAAAGGCUUCCUUAUAUCAAACAAAUCUCUCAUUUUGCUUUUAGGCCUUCCUGGAGGGUGCUGUGUUUAUACUAUUUACUUUAAGUGUGAGAACUUUAUGUCAGAUCAAACCAUUAGCAACUCUUCGGGCAGCAAAUGGCAAAACACAGCUCGGGGACCCUCUGGAGAAAUGCAGUUUCCACACUUCCACAUUUCACCACAGGGUGCAAGUGGUGAGGAGAAAUCAGGGAGGAGAGAGGCAGAUAACUCAGCACCGAGGGGAGCAGCUGAGCCCUCCCAGGGUGGCUGUUGGGCAGCCCUGGGAAUGCUGUGCUGGGCUCCUGGAGCAUCCUUGGCCACCCCAGAAACGAUGUGUGAUGCACCCAGCAGAAUUCUGGCUCAGUCUCCAGGGUCUCCUUCCAAGUUUGGACUAUUCUGUGAAUUGCAAUAUGUACAUGGAUGGGCAUUUCUUCUUGCAAAGUUUUGGGAGCUCAGGCAUUGUCCCUUGCCAGUGAUAAAGCCGGAUUGAAGGGCUUUGAGCUUGCUGGUGAAGAUGCUGGUUGAGAGAUGAACAACUUCUUUCUUAAAUUUACUGGAUUGUUUCCUUUCUCUGGACUACUGACUAAUUACAUCCUUUGAAAAAUGUUUCAUUUAUCUAGUUCUUUGGGCCCAGUGCACUGUGUGUCAGUGAAGAAGUGUUUUAUUUGUAUUAAAUUGCACUGGCAAACAUCCCUUUUCUAGUGUGGAGCUGAGGUUUGUGCACACGCUUGUGUUUUCAUUUCAUAUAUAAGCUCUCGUGUCAUCCUGACAAGGGUGGGUGGGCACCAUCCUCCCUGCUUCUGCUGUUUCUAGCCUUGGAAUAGACUAUUUUGUGCAAGUUUUGGUUCCCACAUCCUCAGCUCUUCAAACUGUGAGGCAGAAAGUAAGUAUGAGUGUUUUGGAGAGAGCUGGCUGACCAAAUGGCCCGUUGUUUUUUUCCUUUUAUUGCCAGUUGCUAAGAAAUGUGUGAAGGAAGCUGUCAAGCACAUUUUAUGGGAUUACUUUCCAUAUAAAUGGCUGCCAGGAUCACCGAAGUGUGGCCUCAGAGGAGAGAGGUAGCAGCUCCCAAGGUCAGGAACAGCAGGGAGGUGUCCUGAGCAGGGACUGGCAGUGACUUUCAAAUAGACAGGAAGACACUCCUGAUGUGGCUCCCCUGGGCAUGGUCUGUGCCAGGACACAUCAUGGAGAGUUUUUCUUGCCUUAGAAGGGGCUGUUCUGGCUGCUCUGUUUGGUUCUCCUUGGAAGUGGGAAGUCCCAUGUUUUGCAAUGCCAGCACACAGUGGAAAUGAGGAGUCUGGAUAAGGGAUGGAGUUCACGGUGCCUGAGAGCAGAGCUUUCAUCCAUCUGAAACUUUGGUAGUUUCUAUGUCCAAAAUAUUGUGAUUUUUUUCCCAUUGAUUCUCAUUCUUCUGCAGUCCCUUAUCCAUGGGCAAGCACUGUGGCACCAGGCUGCAGCUUUCCACAGCAGCAUCACUAGUUUAUUAGCUUGUGGCCUUAGGCAAACCUGAAAUCAUUAACAGCCCAUUUGUUGGGCUAAUGACUCUUUUUUACUAGAUGUAUAAUUUAAUAUAUGGUUACUUUCGUGCCUAAUUAUGCUCUUCAAAGCUUCUUUUGAAGGAAUUUAUUUUUCUGCAUGUGUGUAUUGAGAGGGUUGGGAGCUGGCUGGCUUUUCUUGCAUGCUGCCCUGUAUUAAAAUCUAGAUAGUUUAUGUAAGAAGAUUUUAAUUUAGAUAUGGGAAUUUCCCCCAUUGCUCAUUCUUUCAAUAUUUUUAUCUUUGAGUGCUUGAAAAAUAAAUAGUGGUGAAUUACCAACAGGUUUUAAAUGGCAUCAUUUCAUGUCCUAUUGUAGCUUGGUACAUUGUUUUGGACAAGACGUAAACCCAAAGUCCUGAUCAAUAGGGCCAUUGUGGCAGCAGCUUCCAAAUGAAUGUGAGCCUUGAUCUCAGUGUCCUGGCCGUGUUCCAGCCUGGUUCACAUUUUACUCAACGGCAAGUCCCACUUCUGUUCCCGUUAACCUCAGUGGGAACAGAGGCAGACCACUGUAAAGUGCUGCUAAUCCCACGUGCCAUUUGCAUGCAGCGCUUGUAAAGCAUUCUGGGAUCAGUUUGGAAAAAAAAAGGCUAUGCAUGUAAGAUGUUUUUCAUUGGCAUCCCAAAUCCAGUGCCAUAUCAGUGAAAGCAGGUUAUGACUUUGUCCAUCGGGAUAAUUUUUUUUAUUUUUUUUUUUUUGAGCUAGGCAGCUGAUUGGGAAGGAUAAUAAAGAUGAAUUUGAUUUUCUUUCUGUGAGCUCUAGUGUCCCCUUCAUGGAGAUUAAAAAUUUCCCGGUGCUGUUUUCAGCUCCACAGAGCAAGCAAAAGCUAAUCUCCUGCUUGGAUUUCCUCACACCAUUGCGAUCCACUAAUAGGAUCGCCAUACAGUUUUGACUUAACAGGCACUGGGAGAGGAUAAUCCUGUUUAUUCGGUCAUCCAAAACACUGAUGAUCUGAGAUAAUCAGUGGGCUGAGAGCAGGGGAGGAGGAGGAGGUUUGCUUUGCUGUGUGGUUUGUCUGGUCAGACGCUUCGUGCCAGGGAAUGGCUCAAUCUCAUUACUGCAGCCAGAGCAUGGGAGGGUACCAAAAACCUCCUCCCAACACCAGCCCUGGAGAGCCAGCCUGAUAAAACAACAGCCUUAGCAGUGUCUGGCCCAGAUGUUUUGCUCAACAGUUUUAAAUUGUUUUUUCUGUGACUGAUUUAAUAUAGAAAUACUCAGACAAGUGUCCCAGCGGCCACGUGAGGCACUUUGUACAAAACACUUUGGCUACCAGGUGGCAGAGGCUGGGAGUCAAUGGAUCAGCUCCCAGUACUCACUCACAUUUGGAACCUUACACAAAGCCAGUCCUUGGAUCCAAGCUUGCUAAAAGUAAAACCAGUUCCAUAUUUGCCAGACAUGAGACACUGCUUUGAAUAUUUGUGAGUGGCCACUGGAUCUCUGGGAAUGUAGGAGCACGUGCUGCAAAGCCCUUUCCAAGAAAUAUAAUCUGUAAGAAACUUUCCCCAGUGAUUUAGAGAUAUGCCUUGAAACUGGGCUGUACAGAAUCUGUUGAGAGGGCAUGUUAGUGAGCUUUCUAAUUACUUUCUUUUUUUUUGCUCUUGUAAUCACUAAAACUUUCACACUUGGUAUUAUAUCCCAUUAGGUUAUUGCCUCAGGUUUCUGUGAAAGGCCCCAUCUCCAAUUUGAUCUCAGUCAAAGUGCAUUUUGUAGAUAGACUGACUUUGAAGCCUCAUUUUAUGAUCUCUGAGCUGUCAUAGUCCAGAUGACAGGUUUAUAGUUUGGAAAGCCAGUAGCAAUAGCUGAGCUCACUAGUCUUUAUAAGUAAUGCUCUGUCACUAGGUGCAGCUCCUCACCAUGGUGACACUGCAAAUAUUGAACACAAAAUGAUUCAUGGGACCCAAUACAGUGCUUACUUUAAUUAAUAUUUUACAAGAUAACUAGCUUUGUUUAACUUUCCAAAUAGGAGUGGAGCGGGGAGAUCCAGAGGACAGAAUGUUGCUAUGUAAAAUUUAUGGGCACUCGUAUUUGUGUGCUUGUUUUUAAAAUUAAAUUAAGAAAAUAUUAUUUGUUUUCUUCUCUCUCUGCUGGGUCCUGCAAGGGUCUGGGGGAUUUUCUGUGUGUCAGUGUUAAAUGAUGAGCUCUGAAAAGCAAUGUUCUUGCUCUCCUGCCUUCCUCCCUCCCUCCCUUUGUAUUCCCAUGCAGUCAGUGUUGCAGGGCUGUGUCCUUCCUGCGAGUGCUUUGGGAUACUGUGUGCAGAGAGCACAGUGCUGGACAUGCACAGCAUCACUGACUCUGCUCUAGGUGACCACUGGUGCAUCCUGACCAUCAGACCCCUCAGACCUGAGGUUUAGCCAUGUUUCCCUGAAGAAAUUACAUAUUUUGGUAGAAGAAGUAACCACGAGGCAGGAGUUGAAAGCUGAAGCUGUGCAACACAAGCCUGGCCCAGUCUGAUGUCAGGGGACAACCUUUGAUGUUUGCAAUGACAUAUGAGCCAUCACUGCUGUUCCUUUUCCUUGCAAUGGCACCAUGACACAAACCCUGCUGGACCAGGCACUGCACCAGUGCAGAGCAAAAAGCUGUCCCUACCCCAAAGAGGUCUCAGACUCACAAGGUAAUUACUUAUCUUUGUCCAUUAAUUUCCCUUUUUCUUUUUUUUUUUUUAAGUACCCAGAUAAUAUUCUUUCUCUCCCAGACUCAAAGUACAGUGACAAAUAAACGAUUUCAAGUAUCCUCCUGAGAUAGGGAGAACUGAGAUAGAUGUUGCCAGCAGGCACUGAUCCACCUGUGGUGGUGGAAGGUUGGGGGAUUCAUGGGGGAAUGACAGAUCUGGAAAGUUACAGCGUGGCUUUUCUAAAAUGACACAGCCAAAGAUAUUCUAGAGAUUAUCCUCCAAAAACUCGGUGGUCAAGGGCUUAAUUACUUAAAUAGCGGUCAAAUGUCUGCUUGUUAUCAAUCACCUAUUGCCAGUUGAACUGCAUUAAUGAGGGUUUCUUGAUAAAAGCUGCCUUAUCAUCCGGAACUGAGAUACCCAGCCUAAUGUGCUCCAGCAAGGCUUGAGGAAAUGCUCCUCUUAGCAGCAAAGGAGACGAUUUGUCGCUUUCCUGAAUUAGCCUGAGUCAAAUGGAUGGUCAGACCCUCCAGAAAGGAGCAAUUUCUUUCACUGCUUGUGUUAAAGGAGUGCUUUAUCCAUGUGUCAGAAAGCAUUCUGGCUGUCUUGCAAGAGUUUAGAGUCCAACCAAACACACCUUGGUGGCCAUUUGCAGUGGCCAGGGUUGAAGGUCACAGGGCAGGGUCACUGCACCCUGAGGGGAUAGCACUGGGUUUCACUGUACAUCCUACCGCCAUAACCACUUACCUCCUUGGAAAAAAUGGGUUGGAAAUGGUAUUUAACAUUGUUGAUGACAAUUUUUCCAGAUUUAUUACCUGUUUUUUGUUCCCUGUUUGGCUGCCUGCUCCCCUUCCAUCUGCCAGCCCUGUAAUCCACCUCCUCUUAUCUCAGCACAGUUCGCUCCACCUCUUGCUCAUUUUUGUUUUAUUGCCCAGCUAAUCUCAUUCUCCUGCUUUUCCUGACACUGCUCCCCUCUCCCCAUCUGUGGAGAUUAAAUCACUUUUCCUUUUGUUUGAUGCCGCUCAACAUUCCCCUAUUUCACUCAGGCUUUGGGAUACUUCCAGGCACUUUUGCUGUUGUUGCACACAUCCAUUUUCCUGGCACAAAAAGGCCAAUCAGCAUCUGAUGGAAGCGUUACCGAGUCCUCGUUUCAACCAGUUCUCAGAGAUGUCCUGAAUGUGAAAUGGAGCUGAGCCCAGCCUGCACAGUGCAGCAGAGGCAGGUGUGUGUGUCAGGAACUCCAGGAGCAUCCACAGGGUGCUCAGGGCAGCUCUAGAGUGGUGACAGAACCUGGCAUCUGAAUAUUAGCCAAGAAAACCCGAGAUCAAAGGCAUGGGGUGAAAAAUCUCCAAGCAACCAAAAUGUGAAGUUUUGGAAGUGGUUUUCCGUAUUGCUGGUGAUGUAUCAGUGUAGUUAACCAUCAUCCCUAUUUAAAUCUAGUGGCUUGUCAGUGUUCAUGGCCCCAGCAGUGUCAUUCUAGUUACUGCUGAGAGUUGCUGGGGGUUUUAGGCUCAAGGUUGAAGCCAGUCUCCCUGUUCAAGGGUGUUAAGUGCAUCCUGGUUUGGGGCACAACUGCAGCUAUAGGGGGGGACAGUGGAUUUUCAUGCUGUGUGUUUCUGGCACCCUUCCACCUUCCUGCACAGAGAACAGUGCUGGAGACUCCCCUACCAGUAUUUCCUCCUCCUGUGUGACUGUGCAAGUCCACUGACUGCACUGCUGCUCGUGUUGGCUCAGAACCGGAACCAGCAGAGCCUUUAACCCCCUGGCAAACCCUGGACAAUUUCAAAAUCCCUUGCAGGGACCACAUGCACUGCCAGGACUCCUCACAGCUGGCAGUCGCUGUUCCUUCUCGCUGUGAGCACCCCAAUGUGUUUGCUACCAGAACAAACCCUAAAGUCUUCAAAUAACCCCCCUUUGAGUACAUGGGAGAUGCUUCCCUUAGCAAGGACAGCUGCUGUUUGGCCCUAAUCAUUGAGUUUAGAUGUUUAUUUUUAUUCUGUUUGGGUUGUAUCUCUUGCCUUAAUCUCCACUUGCAAUGCUAACCAUGAUGCAUUUGCUAUAUGUCCCCUCACUACUUUUAUCUACCAACAUGUUUUAAAUAGGUUUAAAGAGUACAGGAGCUAAAAAAAAAAAAAUCAGGCAGCUUCAGAUGAAAGCCAGCAGCAGGCCUUUAAAAAUAGAGUGGCAGCCCUGCACGAGGUGCCGAGUAAGUGGGUGCACGGGAGGGGAGCGGAGUGGCUGCAGAGGCUCUGUUUAAACAGGAGGUAAAUAAGUGGCUGGGGGAGCUGCAGUUCAUCUUGUUCCCUUACGUGUUGCCCAGAUAAUGCAACAUAUCUUGAGGCAGGCUGGUUCUAAAAAUGGACACAGCUCUUGGGUUUCACUGGGUGACGCUCAGGCUGCGCUGUCCUGCAGUCUGCGGUGAAGCGUCCGUGGGAGCAGUGAAAUGGCAUUUAGUGUUUCAAAAGUAGCAGCAGUGCUCAGGUCUCGUCACUGGUACUUUAUGAAGACUUCUAUAAUGAGGAAUGUGUGACUUUAUACCAUGGUGCCUAAUGCAGAAGCAGCUGCCUGUAAAUCCCUGGGGUCAGGCAAUGUUUUGUUAAAAUUCCCCUUCCUGCUGUGGUUGACCUGUGAAAACAGCAAUCAUCUGACAGUGACAGCAGCACUUAAUUAGUAAUUCAGGAUUAAAGUGUUCUGUCCAAUGAGUAAUUUCACAGAAGCAGAGUUUAGAACUGGAGCAGGUUUAAUAUAACAAAACUAUUGUCAUGAAAGCCUCCUUGGCAUUUUAAUGGUGUUUUUCUUUGAUCUAAAUAUACACGAGAAGUUGAGAGGAUGUUUAAAUCCGAGCAGGGGAUAAAAGGGACCAAGAGAAAGACUCAAAAGUCUUGUCCAAACUCCACACAGUUGUGUGAGCCACUGGCUUCCCUAGGACAGGGCAUCAUCCCAGGGAGCUGCACUAUUCACCAUUCCUCUCACUGCUCCAGGAGUGUUCCUGUCUUUAUCUUCCUUCUCACCCUCCUCUCUUUUGCGUAGUUGAGCACAGCUCAGCUGUGCAGAGGAUGAGUAUUUGUUAACCUCCAGUGGCUGCAGUAAUGGUCAACUGGCCCUUCCGUGCUCCCAAAGAGACUGUGUUUGGGUUGGGCAUAUGCUGCUCACUGACAUGGAGAAUUCUCCAUUUCUUUCUAAAUGAGUCUUCUCAGGCUGUCCCUGUUCAGCAAAUUCAGGAGAGAAAGGGCAGCAGGGCCCCUUGACCAAACCAUGUUCUGUAGAAGGUAGCAGAGAGUGCAGCCUUCCCUGUGGGAAUAAAGUGAUCCUCUGUUGAGUGAAGUGUUGCCUACAAGGUUAAUUAGCUGUAGAAAAUGAGCUCGAAUACUUAGGAGUAAUGAAUCAUAAUGAAUCGUUAUGUUUGAGGAGUGACAAAUUCAUGCAUAUUUUGGACUACUUGUUUUAGUCAGAAUGGAAAAUAGUGCAAUGCUUUUUUCUGUUGUUCUGCCUUCAUGCUGAGAUGUCAGGAAGCAAAUCAACAUGGCCAGAGUUUGUAAAGUCUGGCAAUGCUUGAUUGCACAAUAUUUAAUCUCUCUCCUGAGUCUUUGAGCUGGGCUAGGAGCAGGAGCUCCUCUGGAAUCAAUACAUUUGCCUCCACCUUCAGUAGAUGGGAUUUUGACCUGAAAAAACACAAAACUUCUCCUAAGCUAAAAGAGAAAAAAAAAAAAGUUGUGUUGUCCUAAUCCUGUGAGUGGUAGUGUCCUGUGGCAGCUCUGAUUGAGGCGUAGCACCCUCAUCUAGGAAAGCAGAUUGAAUUAUAGCUCCACCUCCCAUACCAAGGUGAGUCAAGGGACCUAUUUGUGGCAAGAUUCAUCAGAUCCUUCAGCUCCUGCUGUUCCCAGAAGAAUCUCUGGAGUUUUUCUAUGGAAUUAGAUCCAGCAACAUAACAAGCUAAGGGGCAGACAGACAUUGUAACCCUUGAAAUACCUGGAAAGUAAGGAUAAGCAAGCUACUCCUACCUGGAAGAUAACUUCUGGAAUCUCAAUGUAAGAUGAAGGACAUUGUGAAAAAGAGGGUCUUGAUAAGAGGAAUUUGUUCUUAGCCCCUUUCAAGAAUCAUAACAUAUCCCUAGGUGAGCUGAAGCCUGACACAAGCUGCUGUGCUUUGGGGUUUUUUUUUGGUGUGGUCCCAAGUUUCAGCUGGUUCAAGGCUGGAGGAGCUGUGAGCAGGGGGAGGAUUUGAAUUCACAGCCUCUCUUUUAAAUAGAUUGGUGGUUCCAGGAGAGCAAGUGAUACUGCUGCAGUGAUUAAAUUCUUUGCUGGGUUGAUGCCUCUGGAAGUGUUUGGAGAGAUUUGACAGAUCUUUCAGUCUGUUGAAGGUUCCCAUGGUGUUGGCCCAGCCAUGACUGUGUGAGGCAAACUGUUUGUGUCACCCCUGGGAGAAGGCAUCUUUCUCAUUCACAGAACAAAGAGCUCUUGGGCAUUCAAAGACAAAAGGUACCAACUGACAUUUAGUUCUGCUACUAAUUAUAUGUCAAAAACUGAUACAAGUUAAGACUAAAUUAGUGCACUUCUCCAGAUGUUUUCACAGUUGCCCUGCCUGCAGCAGGGGGUUAUGUUCUGAGUUGUUAGGUACUCAAACUGGUCCUUCUCAUCUCCACUGAUGUGGUUGCUCCUGGCAUGAUCAGGUGCAAACUCCCACUUAUUAAGUGCUAUGAAGGAAUCAUUCUGACACAAAGUGGAAAAUUCUCCUUGGGGUUCAGAGCUCUUGCAAGAGGCAGCCAGUGAGGUGGCUGCUUGUAGAGCUGACCCCAUGCUUCAAGAUGUGGCUUCAUAUACAAUAUCUGUGAAAGCAGCUAUUCUUGCUCUUGCCAAACUCCUCAGAAGACCCAUAAAAUGAUGUUAAUUGUAAGCCACAAGCUGGCUCUUAUCUUUGAAUUGUUUUUCUCUGACAAUUUUAAGAAGAGCUCAGCAUGUUCUCAGUAGGAGCUGAUGGAUGCUGAGCACUUCUGAAAUCCUGCCAACUUCAUUUAGGUUCCUAAAUGGGAACUGAGUGCUUUUGAACAUAUGAUCCUAAGGGUGCAUUUCAUAACACUAUAGCUCUGUCCAUAUCAUUUCUUUCCUCUCUCACUGUCCCCAGAAUGCUCCCAGCAGCAGCAAUAACACCAGGAGCACUGGGCUAGUCAAGGCUUGAGUGAUGCCUCAGUCAUGAUGUCAGCUCAAGCCACACUGAACAGAAUUAAAUGACAGCAGUUAAAAGGUGCCUGUCUGCAUCCAGUCUGCAGUAAGGUCACCAUCAUCACUACCAGCAUUAUGGGUAUGUUUGAGAUAGCUGUGGUAGAUUUUUUAUGGAUGUAUAUGAAAACAAAAAUCUAGUGCAAAUUCUGCCUUGUAUUUCAGAGUAUUUCAUCCCAUGUUUCAGGCCAUGUGCACUCUACUCGACAAUGCUCUGACUCUCAAUUUCAGGAUUCAAAUUUUCUCCUAAGUAGGUUCUUGGGGCAGAUAUAAUGAAUAUUUUUUAGUGUUUGAGAAGCAGAGUAGGAGGGCAGACGAGCCUUUAUCUGAAGCUUUUCCAACAGAAUUAGUGCAUGGACAGCAUCUGUUUUGGUCCUGUGAGGCUGACAUCCUCUCCCAGCAGACUUGGCAGGGAGCAGAAGAACCACAUGUCAAAAAAUCUGGGGGGCCCAUGCGCUGUGGACAAAAGUAUGGCAAAGAAUUUAAACAUCAGUGAGUGGAGUGAUGCUGGAGGGCUGGCUGAAAGCGAUUAGCACAGUGCUCUGGAAUGCGGCGUUUCAAUAGCGGCUCCAGAAGGAUCUGCAGCCCCAUUGACUUCUGCAGCGUCAGGAAAGAGCCCUCACACUCCAGCUUUUUGCCAGUGUGAAUGGGAACGUGCAGGGCUGUGUGUGCAGCAAUCACAGAGCUCCCUGCUCUGGUUCUGCACACCCUGCCCCGUGUCCUGCUGAUGGGGGGUUUCCUUUGCUCCACGGGAACCUGAUGCCCCAGUGACUCAGGUGGCUCUGGGUCCUCGUGCAUUGCCAGAACCCCCCCUUGUCAAAUCUGCAUCAAUAUCAGCUGUAGCUUUGCUGUUUGCCCACCCUGGGCCAAAGGCACCAAAGGCCACCUGUGGCCACGAUCCAGCUGUUGUCAGCUGUGCAGUUGGGUGGUGUGGGGCUUGGGUGUUUUGUUGCCACGUGUGUCAGUGUGGGGCUUGGGUGUUUUGUUUCCACUGCUGCUGGGUUUUGGCCUCUUUGGGAGUGCACCAAGUGGGACUAAGCUUGUGUCUUUGGUCACAUUCACUUGUUUAAUUUUUUUCUUUAUGUUUUCCUUCCCCCUCCCUUCUGAUUUCUAGGUAGAUAAUCAAAGUGUGAAAUAAAUUAAAAAUAAAGCUGGGUAGAAGGCCUGGCUGAUGAGAGCACAUACAUUUUUAGUUGAGGUGGGAGAAGAACGUGCUCAUUCAAGCCCUCAUGGAGGGCAGGGAAUUCCCUGGCUUUUGUCUAAAUAUGGCAUGCGAGAGCGGAGCACAGGCAGUGCAAUGCUUCACUGAGUAUUGUUUAAAAGGGAGCUUGGCAGUGGCCAGCAAGUAGGAUUCUUGUGAAAACAUGGCACAAGGAGUUGUUUGACAGAUUCUGACAUAGCAAAGUCUUUACAAGGGGCAAAAAAAAAA